rnacentral:rRNA from 1 species
AGAGGCUUGACCGAUGGAGUGACGCAGAAGGAUAGAAGGUGGCGGAAAUGGAUCCGCCUACAAGGUUGUAGGGCUAUGAUGAGAUUAGGUAAAUCCGGUCUCGGAGCCUGAGGGCUGAUGUCGACCCUGUCUUCGGACGUGGGGAAGCCUUUGACUCUACGCUGCCAAGAAAAACUUCUAAGGAACAAAGUGACAGAUCCGUACCCUAAACCGACACAGGUGGGUGAGGAGAAAAUCCUAAGGUGCACGAGAGAAACCUCGCUAAGGAACUCGGCAAAUUAGCCCCGUAACUUCGGGAGAAGGGGUGCCAUGGUAAGAUGAAGGGCCUGCGCCUGGAGUCUGAAAUGGUUGCAAUAAAGAGUCCGUGGCGACUUUUACCAAAAACACAGGUCCCUGCGAACACGUAAGUGGAAGUAUAGAGACUGAUACCUGCCCGGUGCUGGAAGGUUAAGGGGAAGGGUUAUUCGCAAGAAGAAGCCUAGAACCGAAGCCCCAGUAAACGGCGGCCGUAACUAUGACGGUCCUAAGGUAGCGAAAUUCCUUGUCGGGUAAAUUCCGACCUGCACGAAUGGUGUAACGAUUGCGGAACUGUCUCAGCGAGGUUCUCGGCGAAAUUGUAGUACCUGUGAAGAUGCAGGUUACCCACGGAAGGACAGAAAGACCCCGUGAACCUUUACUGUAACUUGGCAUUGAUUUCCGGCCUUGCAUGUGUAGGAUAGGUGGGAGACUGUGAAGCAGCGGCGUCAGCCGAGGUGGAGUCGUCCUUGAAAUACCACCCUUAUAAGGUUUGAAAUCUAACUGAUACGCAUCUCGUAUCAAGACAAUGUCAGGCGGGCAGUUUGACUGGGGCGGUCGCCUCCUAAAGAGUAACGGAGGCGCCCUAAGGUUCCCUCAGCACGGUUGGAAAUCGUGCGUAGAGUGCAAAGGCAUAAGGGAGCUUAACUGUAAGACAAACAAGUCGAGCAGGUAGGAAACUAGGGCUUAGUGAUCCGGUGGUCCCGAGUGGAAGGGCCAUCGCUCAACGGAUAAAAGGUACUCCGGGGAUAACAGGCUAAUCGCGUCCAAGAGUCCAUAUCGACGACGCGGUUUGGCACCUCGAUGUCGGCUCGUCGCAUCCUGGGGCUGGAGCAGGUCCCAAGGGUUUGGCUGUUCGCCAAUUAAAGCGGCACGUGAGCUGGGUUCAGAACGUCGUGAGACAGUUCGGUCCGUAUCCUCCGUGGGCGUUGGAGAUUUGAGAGUGCCUGUCCCUAGUACGAGAGGACCGGGAUGGACGAACCUCUAGUGUACCGGUUGUGACGCCAGUUGCAGCGCCGGGUAGCUAUGUUCGGAAGGGAUAACCGCUGAAGGCAUCUAAGCGGGAAGCCUGACUCAAGAUAAGAUCUCCCGAGGCUUAAGCCUCAUAAAGACCCCUGAAAGAACAUCAGGUGAUAGGUCACAGGUGUAAGCGUAGUAAAUACGUUUAGCCGAGUGAUACUAAUCGGUCGUUUGGCC